GCCGACUCGCCGGGGCUGAUUUGGGAGCGGGAAGUUAGAUCACCUGCCCCCCAUCCACCCCGCUUCAGAUCCGUAUUUCAACCCUUGCGUUGGAUUGGGACUUACUCACCCCGAGUUUAACUUGAAAGCCAAUAUCCUUGAUGUCGGUGGAACCGGCUUCCGAGUGACUAGGACCACACGCCCGCAGAGCAGCAGGGGUGCCAACUUGAAUAAAAUUUUGGGGGGCGCAAAGAACAAAGAGAAAAUAUGCAUGCCUGUUCAGAAGCAGAGUUCAAGGAAACUUACACCAAGGUGACACUUCCACCAACAUUCAAGCUAAGAGAUCUUGUGCUUUCUCAUGAUAGUAAGUUAACCUUCUCAGAGAUUUUUCCAUGACAGACCUUACAGAUCCAAGCAACUUUUAAUUUCUUAUUUCAAUCCCACUUCAGUUUCCCUGUACGCUGAUGUUGCUGGCUUCAUUUCAUCCAGGAAUUCAAGUGCAUUACACCUUAAUCAUGGUGCUAUUUUUCUACUAGCGCUGUAGACAAACUUCAAUGAAAUUUUAGAACAAAUCUCUCUCCCUCCCCCCAUUUUAAUGCCUGGGAAUAAUUUCAUAUAAAUGAUUUCAUGUGUAAUGGAAAUGAAACAUGUAUUUCUUAAAUGAUCACCACCAAAUACAAUUGCGUGUAGUUCCCCAUUUCUAUUGGUUAAAAAACACUUUGAAAUACA